CACAAAACUUAUUAAAAUUAACAAUCCAGAUCGCUUUUUCAGUGCCUCAGUAAGCGGAGCUGCUAAGGUGGCAAAAUCUCUUAUGAAUCGCCUGUACCACCCGGCGGUUACUAAGAAAACGCGAACCUCCUUUACGGACCUCGGUACCUGUAUGCGCUGUAUCGCCCACACCCGUUCCGGAUCUGUUCGAAGUACGUCCACGAUAAAUCCCAGGCAUUCAGAUAUACUUUCACGUUGGACCUCAGCUCAUUUGGUAUGACCUUGUCCAUCAGCCGGCACAAUCUUUGAGCGGCGAUACACAAUCGGAAAAGCAUCAUGCGGAAUUGGUACAAAGGACGCCCAGAUAGGAUUCCCUCCACGCAUGGUAGCGGAUAGGCAUCUUUUACAGUCAGUUUGUUCAACCUAUGGGCAUCGAGGAAAAACCGGUUCUUGCCCGGUCGUCGCACUAUGGUGAUGCGGUUACUCCACGAACUAUCGCUAACCUCGAUGACGCCAAGCGCAAGCAUACUGUCCACCUCAUCCCACACAAUCUUUUGCAUAGCGGGUGAUAGAGGGUAGUGGCUGUCUUUCACUGGCUCUGCUCCGCUGACAAAUUCAAUACGCUUUUGUUGUUCAUUUAAUUCCCACAUAUCUAGUUCCGGUUUUACUUCAUCCUGGUUCACAUAAUGCGCUACUCUAUCAGCUAGCAAUUCAUCGAGGACAACGGCAGACUUUUCUGGAGGAAUUAAUAGUGGAGUCAAAUUAAACAGCCGCCAAAAGUCGAUGCCGAAAUAAGCGUUCUGCUCGAGCGAUGGGCAUACAUAAAACACCACUUCUUUGGUAUCCUCCCGAUACUUUACUGCAGUUCAAGACUGCCCUUGCCUAGCACGCUUACCGAGGCUCCGGUAUCCAGCAAACCGCGUAGCACAUAGCCUCGUACUAGUACUUCGGCAUAAAUCCUCGGGUCUGCUGCUCCUUCGCGUCGCACUGCCUCGGCCACCAGCUUCUUUGUCUGCCUUCUUACUCUAAAUCGUGCUCGGGCCUUUUUAACUUUGGCUGUUACCAUUCUCAUGCCGUCUAAUUGAUGUUGAGCGAAAAUUUUAUUGCGCGCCUCCAGAUAUGCCCGCAUCUUCUCUUCGUAUGGACCGCUCCGUUGCCAUCCUGGUGGGCACCUGUGUCGAGCGCGAUUCGCCCACUUGAUCCGCACUCCGACGGCCGUUUCCCGCACAAUCGGGGCAUGAGGGACUAUAGGUUUCUGGUUU